AGUGAACGCUGGCGGUAGGCCUAACACAUGCAAGUCGAACGGCAGCACAGUAAGAGCUUGCUCUUACGGGUGGCGAGUGGCGGACGGGUGAGGAAUACAUCGGAAUCUACUUUUUCGGGGGGGAUAACGUAGGGAAACUUACGCUAAUACCGCAUACGACCUACGGGUGAAAGCAGGGGAUCUUCGGACCUUGCGCGAUUGAAUGAGCCGAUGUCGGAUUAGCUAGUUGGCGGGGUAAAGGCCCACCAAGGCGACGAUCCGUAGCUGGUCUGAGAGGAUGAUCAGCCACACUGGAACUGAGACACGGUCCAGACUCCUACGGGAGGCAGCAGUGGGGAAUAUUGGACAAUGGGCGCAAGCCUGAUCCAGCCAUGCCGCGUGGGUGAAGAAGGCCUUCGGGUUGUAAAGCCCUUUUGUUGGGAAAGAAAAGCAGCAGAUUAAUACCCCGCUGUUCUGACGGUACCCAAAGAAUAAGCACCGGCUAACUUCGUG
rnacentral:rRNA from 1 species